rnacentral:rRNA from 1 species
GAUGAACGCUAGCAGAACGCCUAACACAUGCAAGUCGAACGAGAAACCACCUUCGGGUGGCGGAAAGUGGCAAACGGGCGAGUAACGCGUACUUAACCUGCCCUAGAGUAGUGAAUAACCAUGGAGACAUGGCUAAUACACUAUACGCUCAUAGGAAUGAAAAUACUAUGAGGAAAGAUUUAUCGCUCUUGGAGGGGGGUGCGUAGCAUCAGAUAGUUGGUGAGGUAACGGCUCACCAAGUCAAUGACGCUUAGUCGGUCUGAGAGGAUGUCCGGCCGCAAUGGAACUGAGACACGGUCCAUACCCCUACGGGGGGCAGCAGUGGGGAAUCUUGCACAAUGGGCGCAAGCCUGAUGCAGCGAUUCUGCGUGGAGGAUGACACCUUACGGGGCGUAAACUCCUUUUCUGGUGGAAGACGAAUGACGGUACACCAGGAAUAAGGGACGGCUAACUAUGUGCCAGCAGCCGCGGUAAUACAUAGGUCCCAAGCGUUAUCCGGAGUUACUGGGCGUAAAGCGUCUGUAGCCGGCAUUGUAAGUCCAUUUUCAAAUACUAUGGCUCAACCAUAGGAAGGGAGUGGAUACUGCAUAGCUAGAGGACACAAGGGGGUGGUGGAAUUUCCGGUGGAGCGGUGAAAUGUGUUGAUCUCGGAAGGAACGCCGAAAGCGAAAGCAGCCACCUAUUGUGUAUCUGACGGUCAGAGACGAAAGUAUGGGUAGCGAAUGGGAUUAGAUACCCCAGUAGUCCAUACCGUAAAUGAUGUCCGCUAGAUGUUUGUCCUUCGGGAUGAGUGUCGUAAGCUAACGCGUUAAGCGGACCGCCUGGGUAGUAUAUUCGCAAGAAUGAAACUCAAAGGGAUAGGCGGGGGAACACACAAGCAGUGGAUGAUCUAGAUUAAUUGGAUAAUAAGCCAGGAACCUCACCUAGACUUGACAUGCUCUUUGUCGUGUACGAAAAUACACUACCUCGAUUUAUCGGGGAGGGAGCACAGGUGGUGCAUGGUCGUCGUCAGCUCGUGCCGCAAGGUGUCCAGUUAAGUCUGGUAACAAGCGCAACCCUCAUCGUUAGUUAGAAUGUCUAGCGAGACUGCUCGGGUAACCGAGAGGAAGGAGAGGAUGACGUCAGAUCCUCAUGCCCCUUACGUCUAGGGCUUCAUAGAUCAUACAAUGGUUAGGACAACGAGUAGCGAUACCGCGAGGUGGAGCCAAUCUCUUAAACCUAGCCCAAGUUCGGAUUGUAGUCUGCAACUCGACUACAUGAAGUCGGAAUUGCUAGUAAUGGCAAAUCAGCCAUGUUGCCGUGAAUAUGUCCCUGUUCCUUGCACUCACCGCCCGUCAAACUAUGGGAGUUG